AAAAAAGGCAAACCUGGUUUCCGUACCAACGUUUGUCUGUCCGUCUUAUAUGAAAUUUUUUUAUAAUUAGUAUUUUCAUUGUUGUUAGAUGAUAAAAUAUGAUAAUACUUUAUACGUGACUUAUCUUUUUAAUUUUUUUCAUAAUUUUUUCAAAUAAGACGGACGAUCAAACAUUGGACACGGAAAUCAGGGUUUGUCUUUUU
rfam:Oryza glumipatula chromosome 6, whole genome shotgun sequence.